UGUGUUGCCUUUUGGAAGCAAUCUGUGGAAUGAAUUAUCCACAGAACUUGAGGUUUGUUUUGUAGGGAUCGAGGCGGUUUUCCUUAACACUGAAGUGUUAAGGAAGUAAACCACGGAGUUAAUGAACAUAUAUGAAAUGUGGACAACAGGAACUCAGACCAGGAGAUAACUCCCAAGAUAGACAUCACUUCAGCCCAGGAUAGGUGGAGGACCAUAAGUGAGGAGCCUGCUUCUAUCAUCUGAUGUUUAGGAAGGACAUGCUAUUUGGAGGAGGACAGCAUGUGGUCCUGGCCCAUUGCUGCAGAAGACAAAGGAAAAGGAAGACUAUUUAGGUUUGCAUUUGGUUUGCUGCUACUGCUCCUCAUUAUCCUGACUCCUCAGAAACAGAAUUAUAGAACAGCCCAAGUUGGAAGGGACCUUGAAAGAUAGCCUGGUUCAACAUUUCGUGGAAAAGGGGACCUUGAAAAAAUUAUUCAGCAUCCUGCUGAGUUGUGUCUUGAAAACUUCCAGUGAUGGAGACUUCACCUCAUCCUUGGAGAGGUCAUUCCAGUGACAGAUUGUUGUCACUAUAAAAAUGUUCAUAUUAUAUCAACAUGAGACCUCUCCUAGUGUAACAUGGACCUGUUGUCCUUUGUCUUGUCAAUGUGUCUUCUUGUGAAGAGACACUGUUUCUCCUGUUUGUAGCUCUUUAAGUACUGGAAAACUGUGAUAAGGUUUGUGAUAAACUGAUGUAUCUGUUUAGUAAGUAUAUCAAAAUAUGCAGUCAGUGGGCUCUUGCCUGUUGCUGACUUGCAUAGAGUAGAACACCAUUUGUCCUUCACACCUUUAAAAAUCUCUUCUACCUAUUAAACAGAUCCAUUAACAUCUUGGGAGGAACAGAAUCUCAGCUGGCUGAUUUGUACAUGUUUGACCUUACCUUUACAGGAUUUUCUUUCCUUGCUAAUUAUUCAUAUUAGUUCUUUUCUGAAGAUGAUUUCAGAUGAAUAUAACACGUCAGCUAUCUUUAAGUUACUGUUUGCUUCAUAGCGUGAACUAUUUUAUCUUUUUCAUAGAUCUACUUUCUCACCCGUAAUUCAUUUGCCACUGAUGUAUUUGUAUAAGACUGCCUCUUUCACAUUGACCUCAAUGAUUAGCCUCAACACAUUUUGACUUUUGCCUUUAUCUUAUCCUCAACACCAACAAUAUACAUAAUAUUACCUGGAAAUCCAAGAUAGCAUUAUUACUAUUACAAGUCAAUGAAUGCUUUCACCUUAGAUAAUAUUUUUUUUCUGCAGAGUAAAUUCAAAGAUAAGUGUGUUAAGAAUGCAUAAAUAAUUUUCCUUGAAGCCUCAGCAGGUUGAGUCACAACCCAUUAAUCUUUUCAUAUACUCCUCAGCAUGAACAAUUAAUAUCCCACUAUAAUGAGACUAUAUAAAAAAAAAUCUAGUGGUGUUAAACACUAAAAUUUAAAGCAAGUAGGCAAACAAAACUUUAGAGAGUAUUCUGUGAACCUUAAGUAUUGCUAGCCAGAACCAAAAUCAGUUCAAUAUAGUUACACGGAAACUUACCAUUAAUAGGAGAUAAUGCAUUUUCAGCUAUUAAUACUAUCCCAUAAGAACUAAAUUACAAAUGUGAGCACAAUUCAUGCUGCUAAUAAACCAGACUUAUUUUGAUGAAAUUUUGUUGACAGCGGCAAGGAUACAUCUACAUAAACAUAGACUAAUGCAGUAUUAUGUUGUUCAUUUUCCUGUCAAUGGCUGUAGUUAUUCAUAGAGCCACUGGUCCAGUUGUAGAAAACAGAACAAAGGAAGAAUCAGGACCAGAAAGACAAUUUAAUAUUACAAUGCAUAAUGACUACCUCGUAAAAUCUCAUGAUAGCCAUUGCUGCACUUUUCAUAAUAUCUAAGUCCAGUGUGGGUCAAGAUGCCCUGUUCCAUAAAAUAUUGAUGGAUAAUUUGGGUUAACUACUGUUGAAAAAAAUAAAGCUAUGUACUGUGAAGUAUCUGUGGAUUUACAAA